AAAUGUAUCAAAAUGUAACAAAAUAAUACAUUUCAAAAAUCUUAAAGUAACAAAACGGGACUCUUAAAGCUAGGAAACACAAUGUUUUUGCUUUAAGAGCUAGUAGAUUUACUUAACAUUAAUAUUUAUAAUAUAAUACUUGCAUAAUAUAUGUUCUAUAUAUAUUCCAUAAGACUCUUCAAGAGAUAUGCUAGACCACUUUUCCACGCAUUUGCCCCACUGUACAUACCAUAGCGAUUACGCGCUGGCGUGGAAUCGAACGGCAAUCGCACUUGCGGUACAAACAACGUUGUUCUGGGUUCUGGAUUCUGGAUUUUGGAUACUCCUUCCCGUUCUACUCGUCGUAUUUGUCCCGAUCUUGGGACUGGUGUUGUAUAUGUUUACAAAUCGUGAUUCAAGUAGUAGCGUCAAUACGAAAAUGUUUCUCCAAGGCAUAUCCCCCCCCCUCAAACAGCCAUUGUGGAGCUGCGCGGCAUUCAACCGAAUUGGGUUGUAUCUGUGUAUCUGUGUGUGUGUAUCUGUGUGAUCAUCGUCAAGGCGGCCAUGAAGAUGGAUUUCUUUCUUUCAGUCUUGAAAGAGAGACAGAGAGAGAAAGAGAUCUUUCUUUUGGGCCAGCAACAAAGCCAAAGAAGUUGUUUUGUUGUGGCAAGCAUUGUUGCUGUGAUCAAAGCGGCUUGGCGCGUCUCACAUAUGAGUUUGCUGUUCUUUUCUCCACCGCACUCCACCGCAGAUUGUGGCCAAAAGGGGGAGUCAAUAGUUUGUAUACCCUUCGUUUAGAUGCCAUAGAAAUCAUGAGUCUCCGUGGAAGAGGGUAUCAAAGCCUUCGGCACUUAAGAGUCCACCUUCCCUUUCACGUUUUUCUUGUAUUAAAUUGUAAUUACUCAUGG